GCCCCGGUAAACGGCGGCCGUAACUAUAACGGUCCUAAGGUAGCGAAAUUCCUUGUCGGGUAAGUUCCGACCUGCACGAAUGGCGUAAUGAUGGCCAGGCUGUCUCCACCCGAGACUCAGUGAAAUUGAACUCGCUGUGAAGAUGCAGUGUACCCGCGGCAAGACGGAAAGACCCCGUGAACCUUUACUAUAGCUUGACACUGAACAUUGAGCCUUGAUGUGUAGGAUAGGUGGGAGGCUUUGAAGUGUGGACGCCAGUCUGCAUGGAGCCGACCUUGAAAUACCACCCUUUAAUGUUUGAUGUUCUAACGUUGGCCCGUAAUCCGGGUUGCGGACAGUGUCUGGUGGGUAGUUUGACUGGGGCGGUCUCCUCCUAAAGAGUAACGGAGGAGCACGAAGGUUGGCUAAUCCUGGUCGGACAUCAGGAGGUUAGUGCAAUGGCAUAAGCCAGCUUGACUGCGAGCGUGACGGCGCGAGCAGGUGCGAAAGCAGGUCAUAGUGAUCCGGUGGUUCUGAAUGGAAGGGCCAUCGCUCAACGGAUAAAAGGUACUCCGGGGAUAACAGGCUGAUACCGCCCAAGAGUUCAUAUCGACGGCGGUGUUUGGCACCUCGAUGUCGGCUCAUCACAUCCUGGGGCUGAAGUAGGUCCCAAGGGUAUGGCUGUUCGCCAUUUAAAGUGGUACGCGAGCUGGGUUUAGAACGUCGUGAGACAGUUCGGUCCCUAUCUGCCGUGGGCGCUGGAGAACUGAGGGGGGCUGCUCCUAGUACGAGAGGACCGGAGUGGACGCAUCACUGGUGUUCGGGUUGUCAUGCCAAUGG
rnacentral:rRNA from 1 species